UCUACGGGGGGCAGCAGUGGGGAAUAUUGGACAAUGGGCGAAAGCCUGAUCCAGCCAUGCCGCGUGUGUGAAGAAGGCCUUCGGGUUGUAAAGCACUAUCAGUGGGGAAGAAAGCCUUGGGGCUAAUACCCUCGAGGAAGGACAUCACCCACAGAAGAAGCACCGGCUAACUCCGUGCCAGCAGCCGCGGUAAUACGGAGGGUGCGAGCGUUAAUCGGAAUUACUGGGCGUAAAGCGCGCGUAGGCGGUCUGAUAAGCCGGUUGUGAAAGCCCCGGGCUCAACCUGGGAACGGCAUCCGGAACUGUCAGGCUAGAGUGCAGGAGAGGAAGGUAGAAUUCCCGGUGUAGCGGUGAAAUGCGUAGAGAUCGGGAGGAAUACCAGUGGCGAAGGCGGCCUUCUGGACUGACACUGACGCUGAGGUGCGAAAGCGUGGGUAGCAAACAGGAUUAGAUACCCGUGUAGUC
rnacentral:rRNA from 1 species